GUCAUCCUCAACGUGAUGCACAGACAGACCCCAAGCUUUGUGCAGAAGAAACUCAUAGUUGAAGAGACAUUCGUUCAUGAGGGGCAUGAUCUGGCCCGAGUGGACCAGAUGGUAGGGCAGCCCGUGGAGCUUCCGCAGGUUAAACACAUAACUCUUCCCCCGGCCCUCCUCGCCCUCGUCCAGGACCCAGGCUAAAGGCUGGAAGACCUCACAGUGGCUCCUGUUGAUGUUUCCUCUGUAGUAAUCUGCGAAGUCUGCGUGCACGAUCCUCUUGAAGUCUUCGGAGUCCACGUAGCGCUGCACGGCGACGCGGGCAAACCCGACAUGGCUCCAGCGGUGGAGCCAGGUGCCGUCGCUCUCCAUCUCCGUCAGGUGGGGGCCGAACCCCCUGCGCAAGCGCUCCCACAGCACGCUCGGCACUCUGGGAAGGCCCUCGGACGAAGAUGAGGACGGGUGAUGGUGGGAUAGGGCAUCCACCUCGCGGAGGACCUGCGAGUCGUGCGCGAGCAGCUCCAGGAGCUCGUCCUCGGUGAUGCCCACGCGGGAGAGCGAGACGAGCUCCGAGGCCCGGCGGACCAGCUGCUCCCCGUGCUCACGCUCCAGCCUGGAGAGCACGGCCCCGUAGAGCUCCGGCAAGUCCCCAGGGAGGAUGAGGCUCUCCUGGGGAGUGAAAGAACUCCAUGCCCUGGUCUCAAAGUACACGGCCUCCACGAAAAGUGGGGAAGGGCAGGACAGACAGGCCUGCUGGAGCAGCCGCCACUGCUGGGGUUGGAGCCUGUGGCUGUUGGCCUCCAGGUUGAGCUCCAGGGCCUGACACACCUCCUCAGGGCUGAGGGGAGCUCGAGGGCAGCAGUGGAGUGUGUGGUUGCAGAGAGAAGGACGUAGACGUGCGGGGGCAGGGGGGCACAGAGCCAGGACACAUCAGCCUGAUGCUCCUCAGACAGCUCAUCCAGGCCAUCCAGGAUGAUGACUGCAGGGCGCUCCCCACUGGCCAACCCCAGCAGGGUGUGCAGCUCACUGGCCAACAGAGGAAGAGACUGGGGAGGAACAAGGGAUCAGUUCACAGUCAAAAUGGAUGAGAGUG
rnacentral:lncRNA from 1 species